rnacentral:rRNA from 1 species
UUUGAAAUCUGGCCUCCGGGUCCGAGUUGUAAUUUGCAGAGGAUGCUUUUGGCGAGGUGCCUUCCGAGUUCCCUGGAACGGGACGCCAUAGAGGGUGAGAGCCCCGUCUGGUCGGACACCGAGCCUCUGUAAAGCUCCUUCGACGAGUCGAGUAGUUUGGGAAUGCUGCUCAAAAUGGGAGGUAUAUGUCUUCUAAAGCUAAAUAUUGGCCAGAGACCGAUAGCGCACAAGUAGAGUGAUCGAAAGAUGAAAAGCACUUUGAAAAGAGGGUUAAAAAGUACGUGAAAUUGUUGAAAGGGAAGCGCCUAUGACCAGACUUGGGCCCGGUGAAUCACCCAGCGUUCUCGCUGGUGCACUUUGCCGGGCACAGGCCAGCAUCAGUUUGGCGCGGGGGAUAAAGGUUUCGGGAAUGUGGCUCCCUCGGGAGUGUUAUAGCCCGUUGCGUAAUACCCUGCGCCGGACUGAGGUACGCGCAUUGCAAGGAUGCUGGCGUAAUGGUCAUCAGCGACCCGUCUUGAAACACGGACCAAGGAGUCGUCUUCGUAUGCGAGUGUUCGGGUGUCAAACCCCUACGCGUAAUGAAAGUGAACGUAGGUGAGAGCUUCGGCGCAUCACCGACCGAUCCUGAUGUUCUCGGAUGGAUUUGAGUAAGAGCAUACGGGGCCGGACCCGAAAGAAGGUGAACUAUGCCUGUAUAGGGUGAAGCCAGAGGAAACUCUGGUGGAGGCUCGCAGCGGUUCUGACGUGCGAAUCGAUCGUCAAAUAUGGGCAUGGGGGCGAAAGACUAAUCGAACCUUCUAGUAGCUGGUUUC